rnacentral:miRNA from 1 species
GCUGACACAUCCCUGCCAAUCUCCGGCAGACACUACCUCCCAGACCCUCCCACUUCCUGGACAGCAUCCAUGUUGAAGCUGCCUUCAACAUGGAUGCUGUCCAGGAAGUAGGAGGGUCUGGGAGGGAGGGUCUGCUGGAGAUUGGCCGGGAUGUGUCAG